rnacentral:rRNA from 10 species
GCUUACGGCCAUACCACCUUAGGCACGCCUGAUCUCGUCUGAUCUCGCAAGCUAAGCAGGGUCGGGCCUGCUUAGUACUUGGAUGCAGGCA